rnacentral:rRNA from 1 species
AUUGAACGCUGGCGGCAUGCUCUACACAUGCAGGUCGAACGGUAACAGGCCGCAAGGUGCUGACGAGUGGCGAACGGGUGCGUAAUGCAUCGGAACGUGCCCAGUCGUGGGGGAUAACUACUCGAAAGAGUAGCUAAUACCGCAUACGAUCUAUGGAUGAAAGCGGGGGACCGUAAGGCCUCGCGCGAUUGGAGCGGCCGAUGUCAGAUUAGGUAGUUGGUGGGGUAAAGGCUCACCAAGCCAACGAUCUGUAGCUGGUCUGAGAGGACGACCAGCCACACUGGGACUGAGACACGGCCCAGACUCCUACGGGAGGCAGCAGUGGGGAAUUUUGGACAAUGGGCGCAAGCCUGAUCCAGCAAUGCCGCGUGCAGGAAGAAGGCCUUCGGGUUGUAAACUGCUUUUGUACGGAACGAAACGGCUCUGGUUAAUACCCGGGGCUAAUGACGGUACCGUAAGAAUAAGCACCGGCUAACUACGUG